GUCCAUUGAUCAGGGUGCAGCUCCCGUGACCUGUUAUUAUCAUCCUUUAAGCCCUACAUCUGAAUGGUUCCACUGGUUCAGCACCAUUCCCUGCAGAAUGAACUCCCCAUAAGGGAACCUGUCAGGGACAUAAGAUAUCCAAAUGACAGCAGUCUUCAUAGAAGAAAGUGCUUACAAUGAAAUACUGAAAUGAACUGGGUGAGGUGGAUAUAAUUUUAAUGAAGUAAAAGUCACAAGAAUUAGAAUGAACUGCUAAUGCACAGCUGAGAACACGUCUAUAAGGCAAGCCCUUCAACAUGAAAUCCCUCAUGCUGUAAUUUCCUAAUUCCCUGUGUAGGACAUAGGAGGACGCCCACAUACUCAGGAGUUGGAGUUAGCGGAUGUUGUAAUCCAUCCUGACAUGGCUCCUGGGAGCAGAAUUCAGAUCCUCCCUGCUGAAGGAGGAAGCUUCUAUGACAGCUGCUAGGCAAGGCACUGAUCUGCGUGCUUUCAGUACUCAGAACUCGGCCAUCUGGACUGAAGCCUUCUCUGCACCAAUUAUCACCUCUGCCCCAUCAGCUCUCUCUCAAAAUGCCUUCAGGAAAUUUCAGAUCAGCUGACCAUCUGUCAGGACCAACUCGAUCUUUUGGCUGCUGCCGUUCUGUAGAACUAGACCUGACUACUGCUCAGGGAUACGUGACAGCAAUGGUGUGAUCCAUCACAGAAGGUCAAGUUAAAACUCUCCUCCUAAUAAAAGACCAGAGGACCCCCUCUUCCUGACCCCCUGAACAGGCAUCCCUUUCCUGUGGGAGAGUGUCUCUUCUUCACUGUUUUGAAGUGAACAGUGCCUUCUGCUGAAAUCACACUGGUCACUUUCUGCCUUCUGCCUCUCUAGGCUGUCUGAGGCAUCUAACUGUUUCAAAGCCACUGCAUAUCCAGUUCCGCGCACUUCAUCUUGAUCUUUCCACUCAUGGUUUUAAAGAUUUUAUUUUAAA